CAGCAGCUUGCAUGGAGCUCUGAGUCAUUAUUCAUUCAAAAACAGCAGACAGGGAAUCUAAUCUGCUUAUUUUUAGAUGCACUAAAAUUUCAGAGGCAGCAUGGCAGCAAAUUAGUUCCCAGAUCUCAGACUGAGCAGAAAAGCACACUGAACAAUCUGUAAGCACAAGAAAGAAAGUCAAACACACCUGGGAUAUCAUGAUGCAAGAGCAUAUUCUGAAACUGACUCAAGCCAUGUCUGCUCAACGCCCUGCCUACGGGGCAUUCCUCCAAUUGGCACAGCCGUCAAGUCUGGCACAGGUAUGACACACAAGUUAACAAUGAAAGACCUCUACAUUUGUUCAAGUUAACCUUCAAAUAGUCCUGGCCACAAACACCCUGUUUGUAAAAGCCAUGCAGAUGCCAGUCUUUAAAAGAUGAAGUGUAAACUUUUUUGGAUGUUAAAAUACAUUCCACAAUCACAGCUUAAUAUUCCAAGACAACUAUAAGCAUGCCAUUUGUAAGUUGAUUACACCAAAGUGUGUACACUGUGCAACUGUGGCGCUAUCAGAACAUUGCUCUGUUCGCUUUGAACAUUCUGACCAGCCCAACAUAGCAACAUUGGCUCAACCAUUUGCAUGAGUUUGUGAAAUAUAUACUGUAUCAUCUCUGUUUGGUCAAUGGAAGACGGGGAAGUGUUCAUGAAACCUGUCUGAAAACUUGUAUGAUGGGACAAGCACAUAAAUGCAUGCUCAACCUGGGCUAUAAAGACAAACUACCAAGUUUAUGUGUUUGUAGCUUUUACAUCAAAGAGUAUUUUUGUUGCCAAGUUAGAAUGAUAUAUUUAUUCUAAUUUAUGGGAAUACCAACUUUGAAAAACUUUCUGGGGUAAAUACUUCUGGCAGCAUUUUUCCUUGACCUCAAACAUUUCAUGACCACAAAAUAAAUAAAUAAAAUAAAACCCACCUUAUGCAAUUUGUUAUUGUAUGUUGCUGGGUUAGCCUAAAUCAAAGAUAUUCCAACUAUGCCAGCUUAUUUAUUAUUUUUUCUUUGUAAUCACUUUGAGACAAGAACCAGCAGCCAAAGAUCUUCAGGCUGUUUUAGAGAUGCCUCAACUGGAGGUGCAGGUGUUAUAUCCUCUUUCAGAAAUAUGGGUGUGCCUGAAUCUGCCUGCCUACAUGUGCUCUUAAUGCCCAAUUGAUUUUACCUUCCAUUACAUAAUUACACAACAUGCAUCUACAUGUCAUGCAAUUCCAGACAAAAAAAACUAGAAAGCUUUUGGUCAGUUUUCUGCAUGGCAACAGCAUUGCUUAUAUACAUUACAUUUCACAGGCAACAGGCCUUUUUUAUUUCACACGACUCGGCAUGUUGGAAUUGCUCAACACCUGUUACAUAAACUUAUUUUGAUGACAAAUACACUAGAAAGCCAACUUGUGUAAUGCACAAGAUCCUUUUUUUAUUCAUGAGCAGCAUCCCUUAAACAAAAUCUUAACCAUAUGUGCAACAUAUGUGACCAAUUGUAAGCAAUUUUCUGAGACAGACCGUAGGAC